rnacentral:rRNA from 1 species
AUACGUAGGUGACAAGCGUUAUCCGGAUUUACUGGGCGUAAAGGGCGUGUAGGCGGUCUUGCAAGUCAGAAGUGAAAUUCCUGAGCUCAACUCGGGCGCUGCUUCUGAAACUGCAGGACUUGAGUGCUGGAGGGGAUAGUGGAAUUCCUAGUGGAGCGGUAAAAUGCGCAGAUAUUAGGAAGAACACCGGUGGCGAAGGCGGCUAUCUGGACAGUAACUGACGCUGAGGCGCGAAAGCGUGGGGAGCAAACAGGAUUAGAUCCCCUGGUAGUCCACGCCGUAAACGAUGAAUACUAGGUGUAGGGGGUAUCGACUCCCUCUGUGCCGCAGUUAACACAAUAAGUAUUCCGCCUGGGGAGUACGGCCGCAAGA